UACGGAGGAUCCAAGCGUUAUCCGGAUUUAUUGGGUUUAAAGGGUGCGUAGGUGGCCUGUUAAGUCAGGGGUGAAAGACGGUAGCUUAACUAUCGCAGUGCCCUUGAUACUGAUGGGCUUGAAUGAACUAGAGGUAGGCGGAAUGUGACAAGUAGCGGUGAAAUGCAUAGAUAUGUCACAGAACACCAAUUGCGAAGGCAGCUUACUAUGGUUUUAUUGACACUGAGGCACGAAAAGCGUGGGGGAGUCAAAACAGGAAUUAGAUUACCCC
rnacentral:rRNA from 1 species